rnacentral:rRNA from 1 species
GACGAACGCUGGCGGCGUGCCUAAUACAUGCAAGUAGAACGCACAGUUUAUACCGUAGCUUGCUACACCAUAGACUGUGAGUUGCGAACGGGUGAGUAACGCGUAGGUAACCUGCCUGGUAGCGGGGGAUAACUAUUGGAAACGAUAGCUAAUACCGCAUAAUAUUAAUUAUUGCAUGAUAAUUAAUUGAAAGGUGCAAUUGCACCACUACCAGAUGGACCUGCGUUGUAUUAGCUAGUAGGUGAGGUAACGGCUCACCUAGGCGACGAUACAUAGCCGACCUGAGAGGGUGAUCGGCCACACUGGGACUGAAACACGGCCCAGACUCCUACGGGAGGCAGCAGUAGGGAAUCUUCGGCAAUGGACGAAAGUCUGACCGAGCAACGCCGCGUGAGUGAAGAAGGUUUUCGGAUCGUAAAGCUCUGUUGUAAGAGAAGAACGGGUGUGAGAGUGGAAAGUUCACACUGUGACGGUAUCUUACCAGAAAGGGACGGCUAACUACGUG